UACGAAGGGGGCUAGCGUUGCUCGGAAUCACUGGGCGUAAAGCGCACGUAGGCGGGUCGUUAAGUCAGGGGUGAAAUCCUGGAGCUCAACUCCAGAACUGCCUUUGAUACUGGCGAUCUCGAGUUCGGGAGAGGUGAGUGGAACUGCGAGUGUAGAGGUGAAAUUCGUAGAUAUUCGCAAGAACACCAGUGGCGAAGGCGGCUCACUGGCCCGAUACUGACGCUGAGGUGCGAAAGCGUGGGGAGCAAACAGG
rnacentral:rRNA from 1 species